AUUGAACGCUGGCGGCAGGCUUAACACAUGCAAGUCGAACGAGUCGCGGACGGGUGAGUAAUGUCUGGGAAACUGCCCGAUGGAGGGGGAUAACUUCUGGAACCGGUAGCUAAUACCGCUUACCAUCGGGUGCUCCCAGCUGGGAUUAGAUGGUAGGUGGGGUAAAGGUUCACCUAGGCGGCGAGCCCUCGCUGGUCUGAGAGGAUGACCGGCCACCCUGGAACUGGGACACGGUCAGGACUCCUACGGGAGGCAGCAGAGGGGAAUAUUGCACAAUGGGCGCAAGCCUGAUGCAGCCAGGCCGCGUGUAUGAAGGCGGCCUUGGGGUUGUAAAGUACGUUCAGCGGGUAGGCGUUACCCGCAGAAGAAGCACCGGCUAACUCCGUGCCAGCAGCCGCGGUAAUUC
rnacentral:rRNA from 1 species